CGCAAUGCCGGGUGCUCCGUUCCCCCAGAGAGAGGAACCCGCAGCUCCAAGUAGGAGAGGGCUGCAAAAACCUAUGUGGAGAAAAGCCUCAGGGAAGCAUGAAGCUGAGCUGCACUGCAAAAAGCACAGAGACAAACCCGGAGCAGUUGGGCAGUACUGAGAGGACUGGAGGCAGAGAGGCCCUGCAGAGCAGCAUGUUGAUCACCACGGGUCAAACUCCCCCCUUGCACUGUAAGGUGGCAGCACGGGAAACACCUAAAUGUGAAGGUCUGGAUGCAGCCUAUAACGCAAGCCCCUGCAUGUGAGGACCUGCCUAAUAUAAAAAUGGAUUUGAUUCAAACCACCCUCUUUAUGGCAACAGAAUUCGAGCAGUAUUAGAAGAGAAGACUGCUAGACUCUGCAUUGCUGCUGGAAGGUCUACAAGUGCAGGGAGAACUUCACUCAUCAGCUGCUGGCAGGGCACUUGCCUCAAUUUUGGAUUAUGCUCCCUUUUUGGGCCAGAGAGAGCCCAACUCUGCAGCCAAGCCCCACUUACUUAGCAUGCAUUGGGAAAGGGCUGGAGUCACUGGCACUGAGGAUUGUUUGGGAAAUCUGCAGGAUUGGAAAAUGUUGGGCUGGUUUGUACUGUGCUUUAACUGCUUGGGGAGUUUUUUGCGUUUGUGGGGGGAUGUCUGUUUUUGUUUUGUUAUGAUGUUCCAUUGAGGACAGAUUCAUAUUUCUUUACUGAAGCUUGAAGUGAAACUUUGAGUCAUAUCUUGUAUUCCUCCCUUGAGCAGCUCCAGUACCUUUCUUAAGAUGAGGUGAAUUCUCCUCACUUAGUCCAAGCUUUUCUCAUCUGCUUUGCCCACCUCGCUGGCCAUUCCCUUGUAGCUCAUUCUGUGGUUAGGUUGCCUGACCCUUAGGCUGAAAUAAAUCUAAUGGAUGAGGCUCUGCAAGAUCUUCUUGAAAAUGCAGCCUCCUCCCUCCCCUUUACAGCCACUCUGUGCCUCAUGAUGUCUGUCUGGUCUGUUGUUGGACCUCUUGAGCUGUCAUUCCCAUAGGGUGACUCAGCAUCAUCUACAAAGUCUUAAUCAAAGAAUGUUUUUGCUAGAUAGCCUGGUUAAUCCAAAUCCUGACCCUUAGGCUGACUCAGUCUUAUCUGGGUGUAUCCCAAAGCAGGCCUUUGCUUACAUUCCUUCUGCUGGCCUAUUUUUUCCAGACCUACUUCAUUUAACUUUGUGGUUAAAAGCAGCAGAUCAUGGCUCUGCCCUGGGCCCUGGCCCUGCACUGUCACCGUCCAUGAUCCUGGCCCUGGCUCCAGCCCCAGCCCCAGCCCUGGCCCUGACCACAUGUCUCAUUCCGACGUGUUGCUUGCUGCCCAUCUACCCAGCCGAGCAUGCCCUACUCAUGGGGAUCUCAUGUCCACCUCUUCCAUGGACCUCACCUGCCCACUCCAUCUCGUGUCACUGGUGGUGGGUGUGAGACAGAUGGCGCAGGCUGCCCAGGCAGUGGGGCUGGGGCUGGCAGCAGCAGCAACACAGGCAUCAGCAGCCAGAAGGAGCUGCUGCCACCGGGGCAUCUGAGAAAUGGAGUCCAGCCACUGCAGUGUCCCUGCCCCACAGCCUGGGCUGCCCCUCCGCAUCUGGGCCAGGUGGGUCUGAGGGACCCACCACAGGCUGGAUAAAAUCCCUUGGCAGGCUGGAUCUGGUCCACGUG